rnacentral:rRNA from 1 species
GGAGGAAAGCAGGGGAUCGUAAGACCUUGCGCUUUUGGAGCGGCCGAUGUCUGAUUAGCUAGUUGGUGGGGUAAUGGCCUACCAAAGCUUCGAUCAGUAGCUGGUCUGAGAGGACGGCCAGCCACACUGGGACUGAGACACGGCCCAGACUCCUACGGGAGGCAGCAGUGGGGAAUUUUGGACAAUGGGCGAAAGCCUGAUCCAGCCAUGCCGCGUGAGUGAAGAAGGCCUUCGGGUUGUAAAGCUCUUUCAGCCGGGAAGAAAAGGCUGCGACUAAUAAUUGCAGUUCAUGACGGUACCGGAAGAAGAAGCACCGGCUAACUACGUGCCAGCAGCCGCGGUAAUACGUAGGGUGCGAGCGUUAAUCGGAAUUACUGGGCGUAAAGGGUGCGCAGGCGGUUUUGUAAGUCAGAUGUGAAAUCCC